GCAUCGAUGGUUCAAUGGUAGAAUGCUCGUUUCCCAAAGGAGAGACCCGGGUUCGAUUCCCGGACGGUGCA
rnacentral:tRNA from 1 species